rnacentral:rRNA from 1 species
GACGAACGCUGGCGGCGUGCCUAAUACAUGCAAGUAGAACGCACAGAUUAUACCGUAGCUUGCUACACCAUAGACUGUGAGUUGCGAACGAGUGAGUAACGCGUAGGUAACCUGCCUGGUAGCGGGGGAUAACUCUUGGAAACGAUCGCUAAUAUCUCAUAAUCUUCAUUAUUGCAUGAUAAUUGAUUGACAGAUUCUAUUUCAUCACUACCUCCUGGCCCUGCGCUGUAUUAGCUAGUAGGUGAGGUAACCGCUCACCUAGGCGACGAUGCAUAGCCGACCUGAGAGGGUGAUCGGCCACACUGGAACUGAGACACGGCCCAGACUCCUACGGAAGGAGCAGUAGGGAAAUCUUGGGAAUGGACGAAAGGCUGAACGAGGAAAGGCGGGGGAGGGAAGAAGGGUUUCGGAUCGUAAAAACCUGUUUUAAGAGGAGAAAGAGUGGGAGAGGGGAAAGUGCACACUGUGACGGUAUCUAACCAGAAAGAGACGGCUAACUACGUG